UUACGGUCAUAUCAGGUUGAAACAUCGGAUCUCCUACAAUCGCCAAAGUUAAGCAAUGUUGAGGCUGCUCAGUACCUAGGUGGGUAACCGCUUGGAAAUACCAGGUCCUGUAA